rnacentral:lncRNA from 1 species
CAUGUUUCCCAUAUAUGUGGACAAGUGUGGGGCCUAGUUAAUAUCAUGUUUGGCAGCUCAAAGUAAAAGGCAACUCGGUGACUUUAGUGGUAAAACUGAACAUAGGUGAAUUUAAAGGGACUGUCAUGUGAAAGCAUGAUGUAACAUGCAGUCAUAAUUUCUGCUUUUCUGUUAAUGCAGGUAAAGAAUGAAUUAUAUGUUGUAAGCUAUGAACUGCUAAAUAUUCCUUCUUAAAUGUAUGCCUGAAUGCUACUACCAGUAUUCGAUCAGGAAAGGUGUUUUUGUCCUUUUAGAGCUUGUUAGGA